CGAUUGAAUAUGACGGCAAUAGACGAGUAAUUAGACGACCAAUUAGUGAUAUACGAACAAGACGAGACGAUGAAAGAGAACAAAUGAUGCAAAUUGACGUUUUGGCGGUGGUAGACUAUUCUUUGUAUAAAUUUAUGCAACAGCAAGCAGAAAAUACAAACUAUACAAAAGAAAUAACAACUGAAGAUACAUUGAUUUAUCGUUAAAUGGGACGAAUAUUUAGAGAGAUAGAUGCACGUUUCGAGAGCGUACGAAGAGGGAACGUCAACGUUCGAGUUAACUUGGCAGGUAUUAUCAU